rfam:Candidatus Burkholderia verschuerenii strain TZHbot4 BVERctg326, whole genome shotgun sequence.
GGUCAAGCGAACAAGUGCAUGUGGUGGAUGCCUUGGCGAUCACAGGCGAUGAAGGACGCGGUAGCCUGCGAAAAGCGGAGGGGAGCUGGCAAACGAGCUUUGAUCCUCCGAUAUCCGAAUGGGGAAACCCACUCCUAAUGGAGUACCCUUGACUGAAUACAUAGGUCAUGUGGAGCGAACGCGGUGAACUGAAACAUCUAAGUAACCGCAGGAAAAGAAAUCAACCGAGAUUCCCAAAGUAGUGGCGAGCGAAAUGGGAUCAGCCUGUACUCUUUAUUUUUAUUGUUAGCUGAACGCUCUGGAAAGUGCGGCCAUAGCAGGUGAUAGCCCUGUAAGCGAAAACAGUAGAAAAGAACUAGGUGUACGACAAGUAGGGCGGGACACGUGAAAUCCUGUCUGAAGAUGGGGGGACCAUCCUCCAAGGCUAAAUACUCGUGAUCGACCGAUAGUGAACCAGUACCGUGAGGGAAAGGCGAAAAGAACCCCGGGAGGGGAGUGAAAUAGAUCCUGAAACCG